rnacentral:rRNA from 1 species
UCCGUAGGUGGAUCAAUCAGUCAGAGGUGAAAUCCUGCAGCUUAACUGUAGAACUGCCUUUGAUACUGUUGAUCUUGAGUCAUUAUGAAGUGGUUAGAAUGUGUAGUGUAGCGGUGAAAUGCAUAGAUAUUACACAGAAUACCGAUUGCGAAGGCAGAUCACUAAUAAUGUACUGACACUGAGGGACGAAAGCGUGGGGAGCGAACAGGAUUAGAUACACUGGUAGUCC